AGUGAACGCUGGCGGUAGGCCUAACACAUGCAAGUCGAACGGCAGCACAGUAAGAGCUUGCUCUUACGGGUGGCGAGUGGCGGACGGGUGAGGAAUACAUCGGAAUCUACUUUUUCGUGGGGGAUAACGUAGGGAAACUUACGCUAAUACCGCAUACGACCUACGGGUGAAAGCAGUGGAUCUUCGGACCUUUCGCGAUUGAUUGAGCCGAUGUCGGAUUAGCUAGUUGGCAGGGUAAAGGCCCACCAAGGCGACGAUCCGUAGCUGGUCUGAGAGGAUGAUCAGCCACACUGGAACUGAGACACGGUCCAGACUCCUACGGGAGGCAGCAGUGGGGAAUAUUGGACAAUGGGCGAAAGCCUGAUGCAGCAAUACCGCGUGGGUGAAGAAGGCCUUCGGGUUGUAAAGCCCUUUUGUUGGGAAAGAAAAGAAGCAGGUUAAUCCACCGAUGUUCUGACGGUACCCAAAGAAUAAGCACCGGCUAACUUCGUG
rnacentral:rRNA from 1 species